GUGCCAGCCGCCGCGGUAAUACGUAGGGUGCGAGCGUUAAUCGGAAUUACUGGGCGUAAAGCGUGCGCAGGCGGUUCGCCGUGUCCUGUGUGAAAGCCCCGGGCUCAACCUGGGAAUGGCAUGGGAAACUGGCGGGCUGGAGUGUGGCAGAGGGGGGUGGAAUUCCGCGUGUAGCAGUGAAAUGCGUAGAGAUGCGGAGGAACACCGAUGGCGAAGGCAGCCCCCUGGGCCAACACUGACGCUCAGGCACGAAAGCGUGGGGAGCAAACAGGAUUAGAUACCCUGGUAGUCCACGCCCUAAACGAUGUCGACUAGGUGUUGGGGAAGCGAUUCCUUGGUACCGUAGCUAACGCGUGAAGUCGACCGCCUGGGGAGUACGGCCGCAAGGUUAAA
rnacentral:rRNA from 1 species